GGAGAGGUACCCAAGUGGUUGAAGGGGGGAGAUUGCUAAUCUCCUAGGGGGUCAAAAGCCCCGCGAGGGUUCGAAUCCCUCCCUCUCCG
rnacentral:tRNA from 1 species